AAGUUACUUAAAAUCUGCUUUUUCUUAGGAGGAGAAAGAACUAACAGAGAUGCAGAAGUCCUCUUCUACUCGGGCUGGGGAUAUGCAUGAGAAAGACACGCGUGGAUGCCGUAUGAGCUCUCGUUCUGAAUGCGGAAAUCUGACCUCCCACCGGAUACUCAGUUCAGGGGGCUCCUGGACCCUCCAGCUGCUCCUCUACUCAUCGCUCCCUCACUCAGAAAACCAGCAGAGAAGUGAACUUCCUCAAAUGACUGACGAGGGAGCCCCAGGUAAUGCAUGAGAAAGGAAGUGUUAUAAGAAGCCAAGAAUGGGUGCCCCCCACCCCCCAACCAAGAGCCAGUUCUGUUAACACAGCAGAGAGCCCUCCCCAGGUCUCAAAGUCUCCCUGCCUUUGCUGCCACAGGUAAGAGGGGGUGGUUUUGCUCACUGCAAACCACAUAACAGAAACAACACCUGCUUGGGCACU
rnacentral:lncRNA from 1 species